rnacentral:rRNA from 1 species
CUCAGAUUGAACGCUGGCGGCAUGCCUUACACAUGCAAGUCGAACGGUAACAGGUCUUCGGAUGCUGACGAGUGGCGAACGGGUGAGUAAUACAUCGGAACGUGCCCAGUCGUGGGGGAUAACUACGCGAAAGCGUAGCUAAUACCGCAUACGAUCUAUGGAUGAAAGCGGGGGAUCGCAAGACCUCGCGCGAUUGGAGCGGCCGAUGGCAGAUUAGGUAGUUGGUGGGGUAAAGGCUCACCAAGCCGACGAUCUGUAGCUGGUCUGAGAGGACGACCAGCCACACUGGGACUGAGACACGGCCCAGACUCCUACGGGAGGCAGCAGUGGGGAAUUUUGGACAAUGGGCGCAAGCCUGAUCCAGCCAUGCCGCGUGCAGGAUGAAGGCCUUCGGGUUGUAAACUGCUUUUGUACGGAACGAAAAGUCUCUUUCUAAUAAAGAGGGAUCAUGACGGUACCGUAAGAAUAAGCACCGGCUAACUACGUGCCAGCAGCCGCGGUAAUACGUAGGGUGCAAGCGUUAAUCGGAAUUACUGGGCGUAAAGCGUGCGCAGGCGGUGAUGUAAGACAGUUGUGAAAUCCCCGGGCUCAACCUGGGAACUGCAUCUGUGACUGCAUCGCUGGAGUGCGGCAGAGGGGGAUGGAAUUCCGCGUGUAGCAGUGAAAUGCGUAGAUAUGCGGAGGAACACCGAUGGCGAAGGC